rnacentral:rRNA from 1 species
GUCCACGCCCUAAAACGAUGCGAACUGGAUGUUGGGUGCAACUUGGCACCCAGUAUCGAAGCUAACGCGUUAAGUUCGCCGCCUGGGGAGUACGGUCGCAAGACUGAAACUCAAAGGAAUUGACGGGGGCCCGCACAAGCGGUGGAGUAUGUGGUUUAAUUCGAUGCAACGCGAAGAACCUUACCUGGUCUUGACAUCCACGGAACUUUCCAGAGAUGGAUUGGUGCCUUCGGGAACCGUGAGACAGGUGCUGCAUGGCUGUCGU